rnacentral:rRNA from 1 species
GCGAACGGGAUUAGAUACCCUGGUAGUCCACGCUGUAAACGAUGUCGAUUUGGAGGUUGUGCCCUUGAGGCGUGGCUUCCGGAGCUAACGCGUUAAAUCGACCGCCUGGGGAGUACGGCCGCAAGGUUAAAACUCAAAUGAAUUGACGGGGGCCCGCACAAGCGGUGGAGCAUGUGGUUUAAUUCGAUGCAACGCGAAGAACCUUACCCACUCUUGACAUCCAGAGAACUUAGCAGAGAUGCUUUGGUGCCUUCGGGAACUCUGAGACAGGUGCUGCAUGGCUGUCGUCAGCUCGUGUUGUGAAAUGUUGGGUUAAGUCCCGCAACGAGCGCAACCCUUAUCCUUUGUUGCCAGCGGUUCGGCCGGGAACUCAAAGGAGACUGCCAGUGAUAAACUGGAGGAAGGUGGGGAUGACGUCAAGUCAUCAUGGCCCUUACGAGUAGGGCUACACACGUGCUACAAUGGCAUAUACAAAGAGAAGCGACCUCGCGAGAGCAAGCGGACCUCAUAAAGUAUGUCGUAGUCCGGAUUGGAGUCUGCAACUCGACUCCAUGAAGUCGGAAUCGCUAGUAAUCGUAGAUCAGAAUGCUACGGUGAAUACGUUCCCGGGCCUUGUACACACCGCCCGUCACACCAUGGGAGUGGGUUGCAAAAGAAGUAGGUAGCUUAACCUUCGGGAGGGCGCUUACCACUUUGUGAUUCAUGACUGGGG